CCUGACCACGCCCUUGCCCCUGCACCCCCUGGGCUCCUCCCCCUCAGCACCCAGCCCCCCGCCUCCCAGCCAGGCCAGGGAAUCCUCCUGCCGAAGCAGGAUGCUGAGCACCUCCUCCCUCCAGAACCUUCUCAGGCUUUCCUCUGCCCCCCAGUCCAGCCCCCAUGCCUCCCCCUGCCUCGGAGCCCCACUGAGAGCCAGCUCUGAAGGGUGCUGCCGCUCAGCCACAGCGACCCCAGGCACCUAUCACCCAGCCCAAGCACCCCUCAAGGAGGUCUCCGUGGGGCUGCAGCCUCGCUGGCCACACUCAGUCCCUGUGGUCGGAUUGGUUUGUAGCACAAAGAACCAGGGGCCAGAGCUGGCCAUCUCCAAGGAGUGGGACGCUGUGAGAUGUGGCAGGAACCCCCCAGGGGUCUCUACAGUGGGCAGGCCCACCAGCACGGCAGAGGUGCCAAGCAAGCCCGUCACAGCCCCCAGCCCCAGGAAGGCGGCCAGGUGCAGGGGAUCUGGAGCCCAAGUCCCAAGGACCUUUGGCCGCUUAGACACCAGCGUGGGCCAGCUCCUCCUUGCCAAGUCAUCUCCCAAGCUGGUUCUGAGGAGGGGGCACAGCGCUCAGACCUCUGCAAAGGAGGCCAGGCAGAGUCCGCUCCCCGGGCUGCUUUGACCCUGCGUGGCGCCUCAGCCCCCGACUGGACAUGCUCAGGGCGACGUGGUGAGGAACCUGGACUCGGUCUCCACUCCCACCAGGGGUGCUGCAGGAGAGAGGGACAGAGUGUGACUGCCACACUGCCCCAGCCAUGGGUGGCACCCAGCCUUGGCAUAUGUGAGGCCCAGGGCCCAGCUGUUGGCCCAAUUCCUGGGGCCUCUCAGAUAUUGUUGGUACCAGGCCUCAUCCCUGUCCCGAGACUGGGUCUGGCUGGUGACAAGAUCUUCUGCCAUGGGCACCCCAACAAGAGCAAGGUGGGGGGCAGUUCCAUGACCAGUCCCCACUGCAGCCCCCUGGGUGUGUAGACGUCCCAUUUGGUGGAGUCCCGGUGGUGGCAAGCGGCAAGUGG
rnacentral:lncRNA from 1 species